GACAGAGGGUGCAAACGCUGUUCGGAAUUACUGAUCGUAAAGCGCGAGUAGGCUGCUCGUAAAGUCGGAUGUGAAAGCCCUGGGCUCAACCUAGGAAGAGCAUUCUAAACUUCCGAGCUGGACUGCUGAAGAGGAAGGUGUAAUUCUCGGAGUAGAGGUGAAAUUCGUACAUGUCGAGUAGGAACACCGGUGGCUAAGGCGGCCUUCUGGACUUCUACUGACGCUGAGACGCGAAAGCGUGGGGAGCAAACAGGAUUAGAUACCCCGGUAGUCCACGCCGUAAACGAUGGGUGCUAGGUGUCGCGGGCUAUGACCCCUCCGGUGCCGUAGCUAACGCAUUAAGCACCCCGCCUGGGGAGUACGACCCCAAGGCCAAAACUCAAAGGAAUAGACGGGGGUCCGCCCAAGCGGUGGAGCAUGUGGUUCAAUUCGACGCAACGCGCAGCACCUUACCUGGGCUAGAAAAUGCAGGAACCUGGCUGAAAAGUCGGGGUGCUCUUCGGAGAACCUGCAGUUAGGUCCUGCAAGGCUGUCGUCACCUCGUGUCGAGAGAGGUCGGGUCAACUCCCGCAACGAGCGCAACCCCUGUCGUUAGUUCCCAGCGGUUCGUCCGGGCACUCUAACGAGACUGCCGAUACUCAAAUCGGAGGAAGGUGGGGAGGACGUCAAGUCAUCAUGGCCCUUAUGUCCAGGGCUACACACGUGCUACAAUGGUCGGAACAACCGGUCGCUGAUCCUGCGAAGGGGAGCUACUCCGAAAAAACCGGCCUCAGUACGGAUAAGAGUCUGCAACUUGACUCUUAGAAGUCGGAAUCCCUAGUAAUCGCUGAUCAGCAGGCAGCGGAGAAUACGUCUCCCGGGCCU
rnacentral:rRNA from 1 species